GCCGACGUAGCUCAAAGGAUAGAGCAAGCGCGUCCUAAGCGUUAGGUUGGGGGUUCGAGUCCCUCCGUCGGCG
rnacentral:tRNA from 1 species